rnacentral:tRNA from 1 species
GCGAGAGUGGUGGAAUUGGCAGACACGCCAGACUUAGGAUCUGGUGCCCAAAGCAUAUGGGUUCAAGUCCCAUCUCUCGCA